rnacentral:rRNA from 1 species
GAUGAACGCUGGCGGCGUGCCUAAUACAUGCAAGUCGAGCGAACGGACGAGAAGCUUGUUUUGCUGAUGUUAGCGGCGGACGGGUGGGUAAAACGUGGAUAACCUACCUAUAAUACUGGGAUAACUUCGGGAAACCGGAGCUAAUACCGGAUAAUAUUUUGAACCGCAUGGUGGGGAGGUGAAAGUCGGUCUUGUCGGCGGUUAUAGAUGGAUCCGCGGUUUAUCAGCUUGUUGGUGAGGUAGCAGCUUACCAAGGCAUGGAUGGAUAGCCGGCCUGAGAGGGUGACCGGCCACAUUGGGACUGAGGUACGGCCCAGACUCCUACGGGAGGCAGCAGUGGGGAAUAUUGCACAAUGGGCGGAAGCCUGAUGCAGCAACGCCGCGUGCGGGAUGACGGCCUUCGGGUUGUAAACCGCUUUCGCCUGUGACGAAGCGUGAGUGACGGUAAUGGGUAAAGAAGCACCGGCUAACUACGUG